rnacentral:tRNA from 1 species
CGGAACAUAGCUAAAUGAGUAUAGUACCUCCCUUACACUGAGUAGUUGCCUGUUCAAAUCAGGCUGUUCCGAC